rnacentral:pre_miRNA from 1 species
AGAGUAGAUAAAGUAUUGGUACCUGAGGAGUCUGAGGCCAGGUUUCAAUACUUUAUCUGAUUUUCAUUUCCUCAUACCUAGUUAC